rnacentral:rRNA from 1 species
CCCUUAGAUGUUCUGGGCCGCACGCGCGCUACACUGAAGGCAUCAGCGUGUCCUUCCCUCCCCGAGAGGGGCGGGUAACCCGCUGAACCGCUUUCGUGGUAGGGAUCGGGGCUUGCAAUUAUUCCCCGUGAACCAGGAAUUCCCAGUAAGCGCGAGUCAUAAGCUCGCGUUGAUUACGUCCCUGCCCUUUGUACACACCGCCCGUCGCUACUACCGAUUGAACGUUUUAGUGAGGUAUUUGGAUCGGACCUGAAGGGGUUCACGCCCUUUCUGUGUCUGAGAAGACUCCCAAACUUGAGCGUUUAGAGGAAGUAAAAGUCGUAACA